rnacentral:rRNA from 1 species
UUCCGGUUGAUCCUGCCGGACCCGACUGCUAUCGGAUUGGUACUAAGCCAUGCGAGUCGUUGUAGCAAUACAAGGCGGACGGCUCAGUAACACGUAGUCAACCUAACCUAUGGACGUGGAUAACCUCGGGAAACUGAGAAUAAACCGCGAUAGAUCAUUAUGCCUGGAAUGGCUUAUGGUUCAAACAAUUUAUUGCCGUAGGAUGGGACUGCGGCCUAUCAGCUUGUUGGUGAGGUAAUGGCCCACCAAGGCUAUAACAGGUACGGGCUCUGAGAGGAGAAGCCCGGAGAUGGGUACUGAGACACGGACCCAGGCCCUAUGGGGCGCAGCAGGCGAGAAACCUUAGCAAUGUGCGAAAGCACGACUAGGUUAAUCCGAGUGAUUUCUGUUGAAGAAAUCUUUUGUCAGUCGUAAAACCACAGACGAAUAAGGGGUGGGCAAGUCUGGUGUCAGCCGCCGCGGUAAUACCAGCACCUCGAGUGGUCAGGAGGUUUAUUGGGCCUAAAGCAUCCGUAGCCGGCUACGCAAGUCUCCGGUUAAAUCCAGCUGCUCAACAGAUGGGCUGCCGGAGAUACUACAUAGCUAGGGAGCGGGAGAGGUAGACGGUAUUCUGUGGGUAGGGGUAAAAUCCACUGAUCCAUAGAGGACCACCAGUGGCGAAGGCGGUCUACCAGAACGCGUUCGACGGUGAGGGAUGAAAGCUGGGGGAGCAAACCGGAUUAGAUACCCGGGUAGUCCCAGCUGUAAACGAUGCAAACUCGGUGAUGCAUUGGCUUAUGGCCAAUGCAGUGCCGCAGGGAAGCCGUUAAGUUUGCCGCCUGGGAAGUACGGACGCAAGUCUGAAACCUAAAGGAAUUGGCCGGGGGAGCCCAGGGGC